rnacentral:misc_RNA from 1 species
GAUGAAGAACGUAGCGAAAUGCGAUAAGUAAUGUGAAUUGCAGAAUUCAGUGAAUCAUCGAAUUUUUGAACGCACAUUGCGCCCGCCAGUAUUCUGGCGGGCAUGCCUGUCUGAGCGUCAUUUCAACCCUCAUGCCCCUAGGGCGUGGUGUUGGGGAUCGGCCAAAGCCCGCGAGGGACGGCCGGCCCCUAAAUCUAGUGGCGGACCCGUCGUGGCCUCCUCUGCGAAGUAGUGAUAUUCCGCAUCGGAGAGCGACGAGCCCCUGCCGUUAAACCCCCAACUUUCCAAGGUUGACCUCAGAUCAGGUAGGAAUACCCGCUGAACUUAAGCAUAUCAAUAAGCGGAGGA